ensembl:lncRNA
CGUAACAUGGUAGGAGAACUAACGAGGCAGGUUAGGAUAAUUAAUGUAGCAGAUUAGGAGAAUGAGGUUAAGGUCAAGGUUAAGAAAAGGGGCAGGGCUUCGAACACACCGACUGCGUCAUUGCAUCACUGCUGCGUAACAUUUUGCGCAGCUAGGCAACUAUACUGAUGCGUAUACCUUUUGCAGAUAGUUGCAUGCGGUUUGACACAUGGAGGAGAGAAUCAUUUUCGCAGUAUCCUCAAAACCGUGUCUUUUUGACACAACUGCUGGCAGCGAUAUGGACAUAAACACAAAAAAAUGCUGCUUGGAGACAAGUGUCCACGAUAGUAGGAUUGCCAGGGCAAUGAGUGGCAAUUUUACAGCCAGACCCUCUACUACGUCAUCCACAAGUGUUGUCCCCACCGGUGCAUCAAGACCCUCUACAACGUCUACAUCAUCCACGAGUAUGACCACCACCGGUGCAGCCAUGGAAGAUUAUGAAAUGGAGGAAGUACCUCUGGAUCUAGGACCACCUGAGAUUAUUAUGAACCUCACGGAAGUGACCGCUGAGGACCUCGUUGAACAGCAUGUGGCCCGUGGAGAGAAACGAAGAGGAACGUCACACCAGGCGUCAUCGGAGGUACCUGCCCCCAGAUCCACUCAACUAAUUUCAGCAGAGGCUCCUCCAAGCCGUCGAGAGGGAUGCAGCCCAACCUGAUGCUCACAGGAAGGAGGAUGAAGAGACCCUCUUUGCCAUGAGCCUGGUUCCAAUGCUGAAGAGGCUGCCUCAUCAAAGAAAAGCAGCAGUCAAGGUUAAAAUGUAUCAGCUGCUUUUCGAUGACAAGUUCAAGGAAAUGGAGUCAAUUUAGCCGACCAGCUCACAGGAAGGACAGGAAGAGGAGAGGAGUUGUCUGGUUGUUGUUUUGACCUCCCUCAUUGUACCUUUCUUUUCACACACGUCAGUUCCAUUUAAAUUCAGUCAAUUCAUAAAGUCAUUUGUUUAUAAAGUCUUAGGAUAGCAUUCAUUAUUAGUGUUACAUAGAUUUCUGAAUUGACAGAAUUGAAACUCACACACCAGAGAAUUAACAGAUGCUCUUGUUGGUCUCUUACGAGACUAAAGGUGAAUAUAUUUCUUUCAUUUAAAACCACUUGAAAACCAGUGCGUUGAAACUGUUUGUGAAGUUAUGUUCCAUCGACUGGUCCAUGACGUCCAGGGGCCAUUUGUUUGUUUAGCUAUGUUAUGGUUACACCUUAUUUUCUUUUUUACAGAGACACACACCUCUCCUCUCUGUCCCUCAGAUCUCCAGUGCCCUGCCCUCUCUCUUUAUGGCCAUGUCUGAAGUUCCCCUACUACGUCUAGUCUUUAUGAGUUGUCCCUGUAUCUGUCUGCAGUUGUGCCAAAAAUACAUGCUCUUAUUGUUCUCUUACAGAUUACAGGCUACACAUUCAUUUUAUUUAUUUGUUACACGCACACACACACACCUCUUUUAAUAGAUCUAUUUUUUUUAAACAUUUUUACAACACACAUACCUGUCAUGUUCUUU